rnacentral:tRNA from 1 species
GCCCGUAGUUUAACGGCAGAAUAACGGAUUUUCACUCCGGAGGUCCUGGUUCGAAUCCAGGUGGGGUCGCUA